CCUACGGGGGGCAGCAGUGGGGAAUAUUGGACAAUGGGCGAAAGCCUGAUCCAGCCAUGCCGCGUGUGUGAAGAAGGCCUUCGGGUUGUAAAGCACUUUCAGUGGGGAAGAAAGCCUUGGGGCUAAUACCCUCGAGGAAGGACAUCACCCACAGAAGAAGCACCGGCUAACUCCGUGCCAGCAGCCGCGGUAAUACGGAGGGUGCGAGCGUUAAUCGGAAUUACGGGGCGUAAAGCGCGCGUAGGCGGUCUGAUAAGCCGGUUGUGAAAGCCCCGGGCUCAACCUGGGAACGGCAUCCGGAACUGUCAGGCUAGAGUGCAGGAGAGGAAGGUAGAAUUCCCGGUGUAGCGGUGAAAUGCGUAGAGAUCGGGAGGAAUACCAGUGGCGAAGGCGGCCUUCUGGACUGACACUGACGCUGAGGUGCGAAAGCGUGGGUAGCAAACAGGAUUAGAUACCCGGGUAGUC
rnacentral:rRNA from 1 species